UAAGCAAAUAGUGAAAUCUUGUGGCUCAACCAUAAGGCUAUUAUUUGAACUGGCAGACUCGAGAAUGAGAGAGGUCACUGGAAUUCCCUGUGUAGGAGUAAAAUCCAUAGAUAUAGGGAGGAACACCAAUGGCGUAGGCAGGUGACUGGCUCAUUUCUGACACUGAGGCACGAAAGCGUGGGAGCGAACGGGAUUAGAUACCCCGGUAGUCCACGCCGUAAACGAUGGAUGCUA
rnacentral:rRNA from 1 species